CCGAAAAAUUAUUGCUUUCCACUUCCGGUUACCUAUAACUAAUGAUCAGAUUACAUCAGUGGGUAUUUCAUAAAUGUUGAAACCAAAACCAUCCCAAAUCUGGAACAUGGACUGAAGUAAAAAGAGCUGUUCCGGGUUUUACUCGAUACAGUUACCCAGCUAGCUCCGUAAUCCUGCUUUGGGAAACAGGGCCAACUCCAGUCCCGGAAGCAGGUGUCCGCUGGUUUACCGUGUGUUUCAGGAGCAGGAGUGAUUAUUGUAAGUCACUGAUUGGCUAUAGAGUCCACACACCUUUUUUCCCAAGGCUUUAAUUGGCUGCUGAUUGAAAGGAAACCACAAAGUACCUGCAGACAUUGUUGGCCCUGCAGUUUGACAGCCCUCGUUUUUUCAUGUUUAAAAAAACAAUUGAAAAGGGAAAAUACCAUAUACUGCAAAUGGUGAAGGCGAGUUUGCUCCGGUAAAAGGAAAAUGAAUGGAGCGGAGAGGGAGCGAGGUUGAGCACCAGGAGGACAGAGAGAACAACAGGACCCGCGCUGGGCUUUUGCUGAGAGAGAGAGAGAGACCGAGAGUCUUCAUUUCCUGCUCCGCUACCCAUUUCAAUGGAGCCGGAAAGUGCCGGUAAACCGAGGAGAAGUAAAACGCUUUUGUGAAUGCUGGCGGGAAUUGGAAAGCGGAGAGUCGUAAAUAAAUGGCAGAUGGAGA